rnacentral:rRNA from 1 species
UGCUAUAGGAUACGAUCGUGGACUAUUAUGGUUGUUGGUGAGGUAAUGGCUCACCAAGCCGAUAAUCGAUAGGGGCCGUGAGAGCGGGAGCCCCGAGAUGGGUACUGAGACACCGACCCAUACCUUACGAGGUGCAGCAGGCGCGAGACCUCCGCAAUACACUAAAGUGUGACGGGGUUACCCAAAGUGUUCAUUAUUGAACUGUGGUAGGUGAGUAAUGUCCCCUACUAGAAAGGAGAGGGCAAGGCUGGUGCCAGCCGCCGCGGUAAAACCAGCUCUUCAAGUGGUCGGGAUGAUUAUUGGGCUUAAAGUGUCCGUAGCCGGUUUAUUAAGUUCCUGGUAAAAUCGGGUAGCUUAACUAUCUGUAUGCU